rnacentral:rRNA from 1 species
AACGAACGCUGGCGGCAUGCCUAACACAUGCAAGUCGAACGAGACCUCCGGGUCUAGUGGCGCACGGGUGCGUAACGCGUGGGAAGCUGCCCUUAGGUUCGGAAUACCUCCCCGAAAGGGGUGCUGAUGCCGGAUAGUGUCUUCGGACCAAAGAUUUAUCGCCUUUGGAUGGGCCCGCGUUGGAUUAGCUCGUUGGUAGGGUAAUAGCCUACCAAGGCGACGAUCCAUAGCUGGUUUGAGAGGAUGAUCAGCCACACUGGGACUGAGACACGGCCCAGACUCCUACGCAAGGGAGCAGUGGGUAAUAUUGGACAAGGGAGGAAAGCCUGAUCCAGCAAUGCCGGGUGAGUGAUGAAGGCCGUAGGGAAGUAAUGCUCUUUUACCCGGGAUGAUAAUGACAGUACCGGGUGAAUAAGCACCGGCUAACUCCGUG